CUCCCAAACCCCUGUGAACAUACCUAUCGUUGCCUCGGCGGUGCCCGCUCCGGCGGCCCGCCAGAGGACCCCAAACUCUUGUUUUAUACAGUAUCUUCUGAGUAACACGAUUAAAUAAAUCAAAACUUUCAACAACGGAUCUCUUGGUUCUGGCAUCGAUGAAGAACGCAGCGAAAUGCGAUAAGUAAUGUGAAUUGCAGAAUUCAGUGAAUCAUCGAAUCUUUGAACGCACAUUGCGCCCGCCAGUAUUCUGGCGGGCAUGCCUGUUCGAGCGUCAUUUCAACCCUCAAGCCCCCGGGCUUGGUGUUGGGGAUCGGCGUGCCCUCGCGGCGCGCCGUCCCCGAAAUCUAGUGGCGGUCUCGCUGUAGCUUCCUCUGCGUAGUAGCACACCUCGCACUGGAAAGCAGCGCGGCCACGCCGUUAAACCCCCCACUUCUGAAAGGUUGACCUCGGAUCAGGUAGGAAUACCCGCUGAACUUAAGCAUAUCAAUAAGCGGAGGA
rnacentral:rRNA from 1 species